UAGGUAGCGUUUGGCCAUUCAUAAUGUGGU
rnacentral:piRNA from 1 species